rnacentral:rRNA from 1 species
AAUGCCUAGGAAUCUGCCUGGUAGUGGGGGAUAACGUUCGGAAACGGACGCUAAUACCGCAUACGUCCUACGGGAGAAAGCAGGGGACCUUCGGGCCUUGCGCUAUCAGAUGAGCCUAGGUCGGAUUAGCUAGUUGGUGAGGUAAUGGCUCACCAAGGCGACGAUCCGUAACUGGUCUGAGAGGAUGAUCAGUCACACUGGAACUGAGGCACGGUCCAGACUCCUACGGGAGGCAGCAGUGGGGAAUAUUGGACAAUGGGCGAAAGCCUGAUCCAGCCAUGCCGCGUGUGUGAAGAAGGUCUUCGGAUUGUAAAGCACUUUAAGUUGGGAGGAAGGGUUGUAGAUUAAUACUCUGCAAUUUUGACGUUACCGACAGAAUAAGCACCGGCUAACUCUGUGCCAGCAGCCGCGGUAAUACAGAGGGUGCAAGCGUUAAUCGGAAUUACUAGGCGUAAAGCGCGCGUAGGUGGUUUGUUAAGUUGGAUGUGAAAUCCCCGGGCUCAACCUGGGAACUGCAUUUAAAACUGACUGACUAGAGUAUGGUAGAGGGUGGUGGAAUUUCCUGUGUAGCGGUGAAAUGCGUAGAUAUAGGAAGG